rnacentral:sRNA from 1 species
CUCGAGUCGCGGAGGGCGGUGCAGCCGGCGAGGGUGACGCAGGGAAGCCGCGGCCGCUCCCUGAAGAGGAAGGAGAAAGAAUAUGAGCAUGAAAUGGAGCGGCUGGCACGGGAGAAGAUUGCCACGCAGCAGCGGCUGGCAGAGCUCAAGCACGAGCUGAGUCAGUGGAUGGACGUACUGGAGAUUGACCGUGUGCUGCGGCAGACGGGCCAGCCCGAGGAUGACCAGGCCUCCACCUCCACCGCCUCUGAGGGUGAGGACAACAUAGACGAGGAUAUGGAGGAGGACCGGGCGGGCCUGGGCCCACCUAAGCUGAGCCAUCGUCCCCAGCCGGAGCUGCUGAAGUCCACCCUGCCACCCCCCAGCACCACCCUGCGCCUCUGCCUCCACACCCACACCCUCACCCCCACUCUGUGGCCCUAUCUCCUGCUCACCUCCCCGUGCAGCAGCAGCAGCCACAGCAGAAGACCCCUCUGCCAGCCCCUCCUCCCCCACCAGCUGCCCCUGCCCAGACACUGGUGCCAGCUCCAGCCCAUCUGGUGGCGACGGCUGGGG